CGAAGUUCAGCGCUUUGGAGUGCUUUGCUGGCAUAGAAAAUUGGUAGCUCUGCCCUCUCUGGCUUUCGGACCAAUACCGAACUGACAGCAGUUCCAGAUACCGAAAGGUAUAGAUAGAGAAUCUCCCCCGGUAGUGGUUUUGACAGGAGGGGUGCUCUGCCCAUGUAGUCCUUUAAGUCUUGAAACGCUUUAUCACACUCGGCAGUCCAGAUGAUAUCC
rnacentral:lncRNA from 1 species